CGACAUUGUGAUACAACCACUACAUUCUUGCUUUUUUAGUGCUCGCACAGUUAAUUUGAUCUCUCAUCGGUCUCACAAUCCAAUUGUAAUCGUUAAACAGUGAUGAAAAACCUGCUUACAUAUAGCAACCCUAAUUAGACCCAUGUUUCUACAUAGCUCAGACAAAGCAAAUUAUAUGAUACUGCAGACAAAUAUCUGAUCAUGAUGAAGAUCUUGUUAGCUCUUCUCCUUGCUUUCCUGUUGAUGUUAGCAUCUCUGCAAGCUGAUGCAGAAGUGCUCAGUACCACCAUGGAACCUAAGGUGGCCAGCCGUCAUCUAUUGAGUGAACCAUCAUCUCUUGGUCGGAAGGGUAACGCUGGGGAAAAUGACGCCAAGACGCCUACUUCAAACAAGGGAAACAGUAACACAGAAACUAAAACUGCCAGCGACGACGACGACGACGACGAUGAAACAAACCAAGGCUUGGGUGGCUAUGGAGGUGGAUCAUCUACUAAGACACACCACCAUUACACAAAUGGUACUAGACCACCCAAAAACUAAUCAAGCUUGAUAAUUAAGCUCGUGAGGCUUACAUAUGUAAGUAUAUAUGGUGUGGCUUGAUUUGCUUAUAAUGUUAAUAAAGUAGAAACAAACAUGUUACUAGCCACGAAAACAAGUGUGUACUGUGGCACAUGUAUUGUUUCAUGUGAAGUAGUUGUCAUUUCCUACGUGAAGGUAUUGAUCAGCGUGAUGCAAAUCUAGCUUUAGGCCAAAAUAUAUUAUUACUUUGCCUGAAAUAAAAAGGCCAUGGCUAGCCAGCUACUGAUUAGCGCCAUGUUAAUUA